rnacentral:rRNA from 1 species
CCUACGGGAGGCAGCAGUGGGGAAUAUUGCACAAUGGGGGAAACCCUGAUGCAGCGACGCCGCGUGAGUGAAGAAGUAUUUCGGUAUGUAAAGCUCUAUCAGCAGGGAAGAAAAGGACGGUACCAGAUUAAGAAGCCCCGGCUAAAUACGUGCCAGCAGCCGCGGUAAUACGGAGGGGGCAAGAGUUAUGCGGAUUUACUGGGUGGAAAGGGAGGGUAGACGGCAGCAAAAGACUGGAGGGAAAUGCCGGGGCUUAACCCCGGAACUGCUUUGGAAACUGUGUAGCUAGAGUGCAGGAGAGGUAAGUGGAAUUCCUAGUGUAGCGGUGAAAUGCGUAGAUAUUAGGAGGAACACCAGUGGCGAAGGCGGCUUACUGGACUGUAACUGACGUUGAGGCACGAAAGUGUGGGUAUCGAACAGGAUUAGAUACCCGUGUAGUC